rnacentral:tRNA from 1 species
GGGGUUGUGGCUCAGUGGCAAAGUGCUUGCCUAGCAGGUGUGAGGCACUGAGUUUGAUUCUCAGCACCACA